CUAGUGUACUUGUACAUAAGUACCAAUUCUUUAAAAAAUAUUAAACAAAAUUAUUUUUAGGCCGUUAUAAAAUUUUAACUGCUUCGAAAGAGUUAGAUUAUGAUAAGAAGGCAAUUUCAAGAUGGUUUAAAAAAUUUCGAAAGGUAUGUGGAUUCCAUAUAGCCUCGAAUCAUUCAAAGAUCGGGGGGCCUGGCCACGUUAUUGAAAUUGAUGAAACUCAUGUAUGGAAGCGUAAAUAUAACCGUGGUCGGCAUUUGACUUCCGAGGCUAUAUGGAUUAUUGGUGGUAUAUGUCGGGAAACAAAUUAGAUAUUUUUAAGUGCCACCACAACAAGAGAUCAAGAUACCACCUAUCGUGUGGUUAAAGAUAAUGUUAUGCAAGAUUCCACGAUAAUGACUGACUCGUGGUUAGGAUAUAAUCGGCUAGAAAGUUCAAACUAUUUCCACUAUCGGAUCAACCAUUCGCAAAAUUUUGUUGAUCCAAAUGACAGAUCGAUCCACACUCAAAAAGUCGAGAGGCUGUGGCGGGAUCUAAAGGCAAAUUAUAAAAGACAUGGGGAUCGGGAUAA